rnacentral:tRNA from 1 species
CCCUGGUUAGCUGAGUUGGUAGAGCGCUCCACCGGUAAUGGAGAGGUCCCGGGUUCGAUACCCGGACCAGGCG